ACAGGAGAAGCUUGCUUCUCGCUGACGAGCGGCGGACGGGUGAGUAAUACUUAGGAAUCUACCUAGUAGUGGGGGAUAGCACGGGGAAACUCGUAUUAAUACCGCAUACGACCUACGGGAGAAAGGGGGCAGUUUACUGCUCUCGCUAUUAGAUGAGCCUAAGUCGGAUUAGCUAGAUGGUGGGGUAAAGGCCUACCAUGGCGACGAUCUGUAGCUGGUCUGAGAGGAUGAUCAGCCACACCGGGACUGAGACACGGCCCGGACUCCUACGGGAGGCAGCAGUGGGGAAUAUUGGACAAUGGGGGAAACCCUGAUCCAGCCAUGCCGCGUGUGUGAAGAAGGCCUUUUGGUUGUAAAGCACUUUAAGCAGUGAAGAAGACUCCAUGGUUAAUACCCAUGGACGAUGACAUUAGCUGCAGAAUAAGCACCGGCUAACUCUGUGCCAGCAGCCGCGGUAAUACAGAGGGUGCAAGCGUUAAUCGGAAUUACUGGGCGUAAAGGGAGCGUAGGUGGCUCUAUAAGUCAGAUGUGAAAUCCCCGGGCUUAACCUGGGAACUGCAUCUGAAACUGUAGAGCUAGAGUAUGUGAGAGGAAGGUAGAAUUCCAGGUGUAGCGGUGAAAUGCGUAGAGAUCUGGAGGAAUACCGAUGGCGAAGGCAGCCUUCUGGCAUAAUACUGACACUGAGGCUCGAAAGCGUGGGUAGCAAACAGGAUUAGAUACCCUGGUAGUCCACGCCGUAAACGAUGUCUACUAGUCGUUGGGUCCCUUGAGGACUUAGUGACGCAGCUAACGCAAUAAGUAGACCGCCUGGGGAGUACGGCCGCA
rnacentral:rRNA from 1 species